rnacentral:rRNA from 1 species
UACAGGGGGGGCAAGCGUUGUUCGGAAUUACUGGGCGUAAAGGGCUUGUAGGUGGCCAACUAAGUCACACGUGAAAUCCCCAGGCUUAACCUGGGAACUGCGUGUGAUACUGGAUGGCUUGAAUCCGGGAGAGGGAUGCGGAAUUCCAGGUGUAGCGGUGAAAUUCGUAGAUAUUCGGAAGAACACCAGUGGCGAAGGCGGCUCACUGGUCCGGUACUGACGCUGAGGUGCGAAAGCGUGGGGAGCAAACAGG